CGGUGCGGAAGCCUGGUCUCCUCGCUUGGAGCGAGAGGUCUGCGCUUGGGAAGGCGAGGCUCGAGGCCGGCCGGCGGAGCUCUCAGGGACGCAGGGAGGUCAGGUUGGCAGCAGCCACUCUCUCUGCGGCUGUACCUGGGAGAUGGAAAGCAGAAGGCUGGCUCAAACCCUCCAAGACAGGUUGGCACCACUCCAGGGGUGAAUCCAGGCAAAGACUGGCCACAGACCACCCAAGCCUUACCAGGAAGUUUGCUGUCUUCUUAUCCCGCUGAGAUCUCUGCUCCUCUCCAGAUUUUCUCAACUCCUUCAGAUGCUCCAGCUGCUUCUGAAUUUGUUUCUGGAAAAAAAGAGCACUUGUCAAAGCUUGAACUUGGCUCCUGCCAUCUUGGUGCCAACUCUAGAUGGGAAAACUUGCUUCAGGGAAUAAAGCUGAAGGUGAGGAAGCCAAGAGCACAGGGAGAGGUACCCAGGAAAGAGGAAGAAUGAAUCCAUCACACCAAAGGAAGCAGAGCCAAGAGGCAGUGAGAAAGAUUUCUAAUGACCUCUUGUGAGCACCUGGGUUCAGCCAUACCUAAAGCUAGAUUCCCAUAGCUACAUGAACCAAUAAAUCCCUCUUUGCUGGCUUACUUUGUAUUGUGUUUGCCAUUUACAGCCCAAAGAUGCUGGCUAAUGCACCAACUCCCAGGGUUUUGGGGGAAAUGAAGCAAGCCCCGAUGUGUUCAAGUGCCCAUCAGAGAAGGACCCCAAUGCAGGAAGCCCUACCUUGUAUUCCAGGGCGGCCUCCUCGAUGGGGCGAACCCGGUGGCCUCGGUGCUCCUGACUCAGCCUGCAGAUGAGGCAGAUGGGUUCCCCGUGGUCCUCGCAGAAGAGCAGCUGGACCUGCUUCAUGUGACGCUCACACUGUGGCAGGGACUUGGGGCUCAGGCUGGCCAUCUGCAGGCCCUCCUGGCACUCGAGGCUUCCAUGGCUCUUCCCCGGGAGCAAGUCCUGGCACCGAGGGCAGCUGGAUGAGUAGCCACGUGAGACCUCAGGAUCCCUAGAAGCAACGGAGCAGCUGCAGGAAACAUGCACGCAGCUGCCACCAACCGGGUCUCCUUCCUGGGCACAGCAAAGGCGACAUACAGCCUUGUCCUGCAGUCUCCCUGGGGACAUAGCAGUGGAAAAAUCUCAUGAGUGACAAACCCAAGAUGUUACCAAGGAAUGCUGCAAAUCACAGCGAGAGUCCGUUCCUGGGAUACGUACAUUCUCGUGGUCUGGAACCAAACCCACGACGUGCCUGUACAUUCUGGCUAAGAGGAAGUAAAUGGAGGCAUCACGAGCAGCAUCUAGAAACUUCCGAAAACCUUCCCUAAGUGAUACUAUUCUCCUUUGUCCCUCCAUCCUGCUGCCUGGAAUGAGGAUGCCACCAUCUGAGAACACAACCUUGAGAGCAAACUCCAUAGAGCAGAAAAGCAGCAGGAGCUUGGGUUCCUGACCACGGUGUACCACAUUUGUCCUGGACCACCUGUGUGUCAUUUAUGUGAAAGAGGAACAAACGUCUAUCUUGUUUCAGUUAUGUUAUUUUGGCAUUUCUGUCAUUCACAACCCAUCACCAUCCUAAUUUCCGCCUCUUUAGUAAAAGAGACCUAGGACUUUAGCCAACAGUUCCCUCCCUGCCCAGACAGAGGCAAAUAGCAGAAUCGCAGCCCCAUGACAUACUGCCAUGAGGUAUUGUGAGAAGGUGAUAUUUGUACCCAGUCUUUCUCAGAUGUUCAACCUGGGGUCCAUGAAGCCCUUGGGAAUUCUAAAGAAGGACUUCUUUAGAGUGUCUAAGAACUAACUAACUGAAAUGUAUGCAACAUUUUUAUGAAAAUGUGCAGAUAUGCAUUUUUCAGGAUUCAGAGCCUACAUCAGAUUCUCAAAGUGUGGAGGACCUCAAGGGGGACCCAGAGGUCCAGUGAAAUGAAUACAGUGGGGAUAAAAGCAGGUUUGCAGGGGGAAACCUGCAAAGGUCAUCAUUCCUAAGGAUGCCAGGUCUUCUGGAUUCUGAGGUCCUUUCUUACCUGAAGAUGGAGGGACUUCUGGAUUUGAAGGAUCAUGGAGCACACCACCUACCACCUCCUCCAAGGCCUUAGAGGUCUUUGGAGCCUCAGUUCCACUCUUCUCUGCAGGUACUGUGGACU